AAGAAGUCUACCAUGCAGGCUUGAGAGAAGAACACCAAGAAAAAGGGUAGAACUCCAAACAAGGAUUGCCCAAGAGGAGGGAGGGCCACUCACCUACUCGGAAUUUACAGCAUCCUUUUGAUUGAAUCAUCUUUUCAUUAUCUACAAAAGGAAUCUAUAGCCCGAGAUCGACAUGGCGUACAAUGCGUUUGGGACCCCUAUCACCAACGCAACUUUAGAAGGAAUGCCAGACUAUGCGGACAAGAAAAUCACACGCACAGAUAGGGCACAUGUGGCCCUUAAUAUGAAAAACGCAGAGAAUAAGGACCGGAAUGCUCGCCAAUAUGUAGAGAACUUGAAGGCGCAAUGGGGUGUAGGAGUCUCCACACUUUGCCUGGUUUACAAUGCUACAGGGGACCGUGUAAAAUUUAUUACUAGUUGCGAUUAUUGGGGCCACUGUGGACCAGCUCCAUACCAGUAGAGAUUGCAAAUGGGCAGUGGGGUGCUUUUCUACACGUCAAAACGACUGGAACUGCGACAGGAUCAACUGCAGCUGUUGUGUAUCGCGGCAAGAACCAAGCUGACGAUACUUGUGACUGGAUGCUAGCUUGGUCCAACCCAUGGAACAGAACUUGGGACAACACGGCUAGUGUUUAAAAGGAAUUGCAUGUCAUUUUUUUUUAUUAAUCAGCUAAAGUCACUCGUUAGUUAUUAGAUUAACAAUUAUGAGAGUUAGUCUCAUCCCUAUUGCAAUUGAACUUUUUUUAGAAAAAAUUGAACCCAUGAUCUCCCCCUUAAACUAAAUCCUAAACCUUUAGAAGAAUCAUAGUGGCCAACUUCGAAUUGCAUGCUAUUGAUUAAUUCACAAUAAUAUAUACAGACAUUAAUUUAUUUUUAUUUAUUUAUUUUUUUUGAAUAAAUUACAAUUACUUUAAUUGAGAUUUGGAAAAAAUACAGUUAGUCACGUACUUGUGACAUUUAUAUUGGUCUCUCUUCAAGUUUUAAUUCAUAUAAUAGUUAUGCCAUUUUCUUUCAAUAAUUCGUUAGUCGCAUCAAUGUUAAAAUUAUAUUGUCACCUUUUUUUUACUAAAAUGUAUAUUUAUUUUGGUUUAUUUUAGUAUCUACUCAUAACUUUACUAAAAACAAUGCCAAUAUAAUUAUAUUAAAAGUGCAAAGACCGUAGUUUUUACAAGUCUCAAGGAAGGUAGGUGUAAUUUAUCUUUUUUUUUGAGAGGAGGGGGCGAAUAAAUUACCCUAAAAUCCUUUGAACUUUGAAGAAAUUACAAGAAGUCCAAUAAUUUUGGAAUAAUUGUAUUAGGCUCCCUCAAUUAUAUCCAUUUGUCAACUUAGUCCUUUUGUUACCAUUUAAUUUGAUAACUCUUUUUAGGAAUUGGACUAAAAUCAAUAGGCUAAU